rnacentral:rRNA from 1 species
GAUGAACGCUAGCGGGAGGCUUAAUACAUGCAAGUCGAGGGGUAACGAUUCGGACCUAGUCUGAAGGCGACGACCGGCGCACGGGUGAGUAACGCGUACACGACCUACCUCAUACUGAGGGAUAGCCCUGGGAAACUGGGAUUAAUACCUCAUAGUACUAACAAAUUGCGAUUUAUUAGUUAAAGUUCCGGCGGUAUGAGAUGGGUGUGCGUUAGAUUAGCUAGUUGGUAAGGUAACGGCUUACCAAGGCGACGAUCUAUAGGGGGCGUGAGAGCGUGGACCCCCACACGGGUACUGAGACACGGACCCGACUCCUACGGGAGGCAGCAGUAAGGAAUAUUGGACAAUGGGGGCAACCCUGAUCCAGCCAUCCCGCGUGCAGGAAGACGGCCCUAUGGGUUGUAAACUGCUUUUAUAAGGGAAGAAAAUUAGUCAUUUAUGAUUAACUGACGGUACCUUAAGAAUAAGCACCGGCUAACUCCGUGCCAGCCGCCGCCGUAACAC